GCACUGUGUGCGUGUGUGCUGUAGAGUGCGCUAGAGGGUCAGGUGUUUGAAGAGAAAGACAGAGCCCAGCGCUUGCAGACGGAGCUGGAUGUCAGCGAGCAGGUCCAGAAGGACUUUGUCAAGCUUUCGCAGACGCUACAGGUGCAGCUGGAGCGAAUACGACAGGCGGACUCUUUGGAGCGAAUCAGACUCAUUCUCAACGACACCAACUUGACUGACAUCAACCAGCUUCCGGAUACAUGAUAGCGCGCCUGCGGGGAAAAGUGCCUCCUCCCUUCUUUCUUUCUCCAUCCCCCGAACAUGAUCGAUCUAUCGAUCGAUCCUCCUCCCUCUCCUCCUCCUCCUCCUCCUCCUCCUCGUAAGCGUCACGAAAGAAGCGAAGGCAGGUAGGAAGGAGCGAGGCUGGCCUUUUUAUGUACAUUCAGUGGUGGAGUCGUGAUGAAGAAAGAGCACUACUCAAAACAUUGCAAACGUGCAUACGGAUGGUUGGUCUUUCCUGUGGAUGUCUUGCUCCUACUGUAGAUAUGACUCUUUUAAAAACAAAAUUCUGAUUAGCUUUAAAAAAUAAUAAUACCAGAUUGGUCCAUCAUCGUUCAUCUCGUUUGUUGGUCAUCUCAUCCCUUUGAUGUGAUGGGGUUUUUUUCCCCCUCCCAACACCAGGGGCUCUCAAACUGGGGUCCAGACCUCAAGGCUUCACAGAAUACUGUAAAAAUAAUCCAACAAUAAUAAUCAAUUAUUUUCUCUCAUUUCAAGUAUAUAACCCCCGCCCCCCCAACAAAAUACAUUUGUUUAGAGGAAAAAUAUCCAGAGCAAUGCAACUUUUUUUUUCCUCUUACACAAACACUUGCCCCUCGACAUUUAGCGGCCCACAUAAUAGUUCUGCUCAAAGUCUCUCCCCGCUACCUGGUCAAGUUUGAGAAUGCCUCUUUUGCACCCUACAACAAUGACACGAGAUGGACCAAAUGGAAUUGUUGUUGCACGAGAAUCCAAUCCAAAAGGCAACACUGCUGUCUUGCAAUUUUUCUUGGAGAAACUCGUGCGACGUGAGUUUAAUUCUUCAGAUUUUACCCCCCCCCCCCUUUUUUCAGGUGAGUACAAAGGACAUCCGUGUGUGUUUGUGAAACUGCAGACCCUCCAAACUGGAACACCUUCCCAAAUUGCUCUCAUUUCACAACCCAGAGCCCGGCAUGGAAAGAUUCAAUCGUUGCCGUGGACGUUAAAUUUGUCAAAAGGCAGUCCAAAAGCCGUGCGCCACGGCGUAUUUGCCAAGGGUGUUUUUCAACAGGUGGGUACAGAAGAGGGUCACCUUGUUCGAGAAGUUCAAAGCUUGUACUUAACUGUAAUGACGCACGGAUCCCUGUAGAUGGCGGCAAUGAAUCGCUUUGGAUUCAGGUCAAAAUCUCGCCUCGUCUCAUGUUGAUUAUGAACGAGGGGACGCCAGCACGUUUGAAGUCAAGACAAGUUUCGGCACCUAGCAGGCAAGAGUAACCUAUGAUGUCAACAGUUUGUGUCGUGGGUGGUUGUCGAAAGCGUGGAAGCAUCGUGAAUGGCAAACAGAUUGUUAAAUAAAUAACAAUCACCCACUUUCAUCUUGAGUCAUGCAGCGAGUCACCGUUGCCCACUGUGCAUAUUUUCAGUUUUUGUGCACUGUCUUAGUCUUAUUUUUGUGGCUUUAUAGUUUAGCGUCACAAAGGCAUAAACACAAUGUCAGCAUUAAAGUCACUGUUUGACUUGAAAUGAUUUUUGGGACAAAAAGACCGCUUUCUGUGUUUUUCGGUCAGAGACCUUUUUUUUUUUUUUUUGGAGACCAGUCCAUGUUCUACUGUCAAAUAAGUAAAGAACGCAAAACAGGAACUCUGGGUUGAAUACAGCUGCCUGUGAAUGAGUCAAGUGUCCUGAAAUAAAAACUCCUCACCAUUUGAAGUGAA